UGAACGCUGGCGGCGUGCCUAACACAUGCAAGUCGAGCGGUAACAGGUGUAGCAAUACAUGCUGACGAGCGGCGGACGGGUGAGUAACGCUUGGGAAUCUGCCUAUUAGUGGGGGACGAACCCGGGAAACGUACGGCGUAAUACCGCAUACGCUCUACGGAGGAAAGCCGGGACCGCAAGGCCUGGCGCUAAUAGAUGAGCCCAAGUCGGAUUAGCUAGUUGGUAGGGUAAUGGCCUACCAAGGCGACGAUCCGUAACUGGUCUGAGAGGACGACCAGUCACACCGGAACUGAGACACGGUCCGGACUCCUAC
rnacentral:rRNA from 1 species